AGGGUAGCAACUAGCCAAGCUUCAACAAAAGUAUUGAAAAUACAUUUGUCUGCUUUAAAUGGUUAAUGAACCAAUUUGAAUAGAAUUAAAAGCUACAUUUACAUCUGAACAAAGUAUCAUAAACAACACACAAUAAAAGCAAUAAUAUGUAAAAAUGAGGGAAAUGUAAAAAAUUAUAUAAAAAUAGAAUAAUAUUGCCUCUUUCUGGAGGAGACACGCACAAUUUGUUUAAUUAUAAUUAACAACUUUAUCACACAACAGAAAAUUCAUUCACAUCAAUUAGUUUUUGUCAAGCUUGACAAAAUUUUUGAUGCUUGACUUGCGACGCCAAUUUACAAACACAAAAUACAACAAAAUAAUGAAAAGACAACUUGCCGAUGCCGAGAUUUACAUAAAUAUAUUUUAAUGAACUAAUUUUGCAAGCCAAAUCGAAAGACGCUAAGAUGAAAAAGAAUCAAGAAGAAAAAAGAAACAGAAUUUGCGGCAGGUGCCAAGAAAAAACGAAGAGAAAACAACAAUAAAAAUUAAGAAGUCAAAGGGGAAGUCACGAAAAUAUCAAUGAAUUGGGGUUGAUAAACGCCAUAAAUAAUGAUACAUAAUGACUCCCAAUGGAAUCAAGUUGAGAAAGCGGAGAAUGGAGACAGCAGCAUCAAAAGAAUACAGGGUAUCUACUAAGCCAAUCAGUCUCCCAAGUCUUGCAGCUUAACGAGAUUGAAGGCAACAUUUCCAAUGGAUUUUUUAUGUGCAAUCCAUUAAACAAUAAAGAGAAAAUCAAAAAAAAGCUAAAAAUCCGAUUUGGCCCAGGCACCAGGCAAGAAAAUUUCUUGGAAGCUGAAAUCAGCGUGCAGCUUUGCCACUAAAGAGCUUGCCAACAACAACACAACGAUGACGACGACGUCGGGCACAUUUAAAGAUCUCAACGGCUGUGUUGGCGGCGUUGCCUGGCACCAAAAAACUGGUCACCAAUAGGCUGGCGGAGAGAUGACGAAGCGGGUGGCGGUGGCGCUCUUGCUGUUGCUGAAGCUGUGACUGUAGCUCUGCGGCUGCGACUGCGACUGCGGCUGCUGCUGCUGUAGCCAAUGCUGGCGGUGGGCAAAUGUUGCAAGCCAGAGCAGCAGACAAUCUAUAACUAUACUCGUAUACACAAGGGUUCCAUAUAAGUACAUACACAACAGACGUACAAAGGUAGCUACAAAGGUAGUCUUGUUAUUGUUCGAAAAGAAAAAUCAUUCAAUAACUGAGUAAUCAUAAAGCUUAACUCUAUACAAA